rnacentral:rRNA from 1 species
AACGAACGCUGGCGGCAGGCCUAACACAUGCAAGUCGAACGCUGUAGCAAUACAGAGUGGCAGACGGGUGAGUAACACGUGGGAAUCUUCCUAUCGGUACGGAAUAGCUCAGGGAAACUUGGGGUAAUACCGCAUACGCCCUUCGGGGGAAAGAUUUAUCGCCGAUAGAUGAGCCCGCGUCGGAUUAGCUAGUUGGUGAGGUAAUGGCUCACCAAGGCGACGACCAGUAGCUGGUCUGAGAGGAUGACCAGCCACACUGGGACUGAGACACGGCCCAGACUCCUACGGGAGGCAGCAGUGGGGAAUAUUGGACAAUGGGCGCAAGCCUGAUCCAGCCAUGCCGCGUGAGUGACGAAGGUCUUCGGAUUGUAAAGCUCUUUUGGCGGGGACGAUGAUGACGGUACCCGCAGAAUAAGCCCCGGCUAACUUCGUGCCAGCAGCCGCCGCAG